rnacentral:rRNA from 1 species
GUCGGAUCCGUUGACGGGCCGCUCUUUCGAGGGGCCUGUUGGCGACCGGCGAUGUUACCUUGAACAAAUUAGAGUGCUUAAAGCAGGCUAUGUUUGCCUGAAUACAUAUUCAUGGAAUUGGAGAAUACGUCCCUGACUCAAUUUGGUUGGUUUUGUGAGUCGAAGGGAAAUGAUUAAUAGGGACUGACGGAGGCAUUCGUAUUGCAGCGCGAGGGGUGAAAUCCUAUGACCGUUGCACGACGAACUACUGCGAAAGCAUUUGCCGAGAAUGUUUUCAUUAGUCAAGAACGAAAGUUAGAGGUUCGAAGGCGAUCAGAUACCGCCCUAGUUCUAACCGUAAACGAUGUCAACCAGCAAUCCGCAAUGGUCCUUCAUUGGACCGUGCGGGCAGCUCUCCCGGAGAAAUCAGAGUGUUCAGACUCCGGGGAGAGUACGGUUACAAAACAGAAAUUUAAAGGAAUUGACGGAAGGGCACCACCAGGAGUGGAGCUUGCGGCUUAAUUUGACUCAACACGGGACAACUUACCAGGCCCGGACACUGUAAGGAUUGACAGAUUGAGAGCUCUCUCAUGAUUCAGUGGGUGGUGGUGCAUGGCCGUUCUUAGUUGGUGGAGUGAUUUGUCUGGUUUAUUCCGAUAACGAACGAGACUCUGGCCUACUAAACUAGAAGGCGUUCGUACUUUGUUGUACGUCGUCUAGCUUCUUAGAGGGAUUAUCGGCAUUUCAGCCGAACGAAAGAGAGCAAUAACAGGUCUGUGAUGCCCUUAGAUGUUCUGGGCUGCCCGCGUGUUACACUGAAGUGGUCAACGCGCCACGAAUUCGUCCCACUCCGAAAGGAGCGGGCAAACGUAUGAACCCAUUUCGUGAUGGGGAUUGAGGGUUGGAAUUGUCCCUCAUCAACGAGGAAUUCCAAGUAAGCACAGGUCACUAGCCUGUGUUGAUUAAGUCCCUGCCCUUUGUAC